rnacentral:rRNA from 1 species
UACGUAGGGUGCAAGCGUUGUCCGGAAUUAUUGGGCGUAAAGAGCUCGUAGGCGGUUUGUCGCGUCUGCUGUGAAAACUCGGGGCUUAACCCCGGGCCUGCAGUGGGUACGGGCAGACUAGAGUGCGGUAGGGAAGACUGGAAUUCCUGGUGUAGCGGUGAAAUGCGCAGAUAUCAGGAGGAACACCGGUGGCGAAGGCGGGUCUCUGGGCCGAUACUGACGCUGAGGAGCGAAAGCGUGGGGAGCGAACAGG